CUCGAGUCAAUGUCUGUAUUAUGGCAACUUACAUUGCCAUAAUACAGACCAGGACCGCCAGGCUCAUUACAAGCCCGGCGGUCCUGUUGUGGGCUGGCAGAGAGCUGUAACUUACCUUUCCCGCAGCUCCUGUCAGCUCCCUUCUCCUCCGGUCUGGUCAGCUCCCCUGUCAGCUCCCUUGCAAGUCUCGCGAGAGCCGCGGGUCAGAGCGUUGCCAUGGCUUACCAUGGCAACGCUCUGUGCGGCACUCACACCGCGAGCCUUGCAGUGCAGGAGAAGGGAGCUGCC